rnacentral:rRNA from 1 species
GAAUGAACGCUGGCGGCGUGCUUAACACAUGCAAGUCGAACGAGAAAGUUCCUUCGGGAACGAGUAAAGUGGCGAACGGGUGAGUAACGCGUGAGUAUUUCCCAUUUAGUGAAGGAUACCCUCGAGAAAUUGAGGUUAAUACUGCAUAAGUCUCUUCGGAGAGAAAGGUGGCCUCUUGCUACCGCUAAAUGAUAAGCUUGCGUACUAUUAGCUUGUUGGUAGGGUAAAGGCCUACCAAGGCUCAGAUGGUUAGCCGACCUGAGAGGGUGAUCGGCCACAUUGGGACUGAGAUACGGCCCAGACUCCUACGGGAGGCAGCAGUGGGGAAUUUUGCACAAUGGGCGCAAGCCUGAUGCAGCGACGCCGCGUGGAGGAUGAAGGUUUUAGGAUCGUAAACUCCUGUUAAGUGGGAAGAAAUGCCUUUAGUUAAUACCUAAAGGAGAUGACGGUACCACUAGAGAAAGCUCCGGCUAACUUCGUGCCAGCAGCCGCGGUAAUACGAGGGGAGCAAGCGUUAUUCGGAAUCACUGGGCGUAAAGAGUGUGUAGGCGGCUUAUUAAGUCAGUUGUUAAAUACCCCGGCUCAACCGGGGAAGUGCGAUUGAAACUGAUAGGCUAGAGGGCAUGAGAGAGAAGUGGAAUUCUUGGAGUAGCGGUAAAAUGCGUAGAUCUCAAGAGGAACACCAAUUGCGAAGGCAGCUUCUUGGCAUGUCCCUGACGCUGAGACACGAAAGCGUGGGGAGCAAACAGGAUUAGAUACCCUGGUAGUCCACGCCGUAAACGAUGAUCACUAGAUGUGGGUUUUGCUUGCAAGAUCCGUGUCGUAGCUAACGCGUUAAGUGAUCCGCCUGGGAAGUACGGCCGCAAGGCUAAAACUCAAAGGAAUUGACGGGGGUCCGCACAAGCGGUGGAACAUGUGGUUUAAUUCGACACUACGCGAGGAACCUUACCUAGACUUGACAUGUUUUUGACCGGUAUAGAAAUAUACUUUUUUUAGUUUACUAAGACAAUUACACAGGUGCUGCAUGGCUGUCGUCAGCUCGUGUCGUGAGAUGUUGGGUUAAGUCCUUUAACGAGCGCAACCCCUGUCGUUAGUUGCUAGUCUUUGUGAAGCACUCUAACGAGACUGCCUGGGGAACCAGGAGGAAGGUGGGGAUGACGUCAAGUCCUCAUGGCCCUUAUGUCUAGGGCUACACACGUGUUACAAUGGCGAGUACAAAGGGUUGCAAUACCGCGAGGUGGAGCCAAUCCCACAAAGCUCGUCUAAGUUCGGAUUGGAGUCUGUAACUCGACUCCAUGAAGGAGGAAUCGCUAGUAAUCGUGGAUCAGAACGCCACGGUGAAUACGUUCCCGGGUCUUGCACUCACCGCCCG